CCUAGGGUGAAGUGUUGCCCGUGUGACCUUCAUGACAUUCCCGCCCCCUCCCAGGGGGGUGGGGGGCUGGAAAUGGCAGAGCUGGCCAGAGGCUGAAAAGUUGGAAGGUAACCCAGAACUCCUGGUCCCCAAGAAGGGUCUAGUCCCCACAUCACAGUCAGGUGUUAAGUUCUGGGCAGUAUGGUGAGGCUCCUGGCCCCUACUGGAAUCCUCUGUCCUACUUAGAGGUACCGGCAGACCUAGCUAGGGCUUGGGGUCCCUGUAUCCUCUAUACAUCACCUCUAUCUACAUAGCAGCAUCCCCCUCCAUCAGCAACCCUGUCCAUUAGGGCCUGGUCAGCAAUCUUCAGAGACUUGUGGUGAAGACAAAUACUCAGGAACUGCUACUUUGGGAUCCUUCACCAAUUUCCACCUUCUGUCCUCAUUGGGAAGAACGGGGAUAGCCAGAUCUCAGAUAAGCAAGUGACCCCUACAUCUUGUCCUGUGUCGGGGGUGCUCCUCCCCGUUGUUGCUAUCAGUACCUGACUCAGGCCUCAUCAAGAGACUCUUGUUCUUGCAGUAGACGGGAAUAAACCUGGAGAUCACAACUGGACAGUGCGAAGAUGUCUCACUGGAACACUCAGUCUUAAAUGGUAUGUCUUUUUCAGAGCCCUCCCCUCAAGGCUCUGCGUACAUCAAGGCUCUGCAUACAUCAAGAGAUGUAUGCAGAAAGAUUGUGGGAACCAGGGGGGGACAGAGGAACCCAAGGAAGAACUGAUGCACACAUGAGCAGCACACCUGAGGAUGACAGAUGAGACCCGAGCACUGAGAAGAGAAAGCAGACAUGGGCUCCACAUCCCUUACUAGAAACCUAUCUGCAAUUGAUGCCUGAUGGAAAAGGGAGAAUCUGUUUCUCCAAUGGAGUCUCACUGGGCAUAUUAACCACACAUCAGGGAAGGUCCCAUGCCCAGGAGCAGUUGACCAACACCAAACAAACUCCAAGGCAUUUCCAUGGACUUUUUGUCUCAUUCUUCUUCGUUGGGGCAUAUUUUUCUUACUUUUUCUUUUUGCCAUUUUUUAACUGAGCUAUGCAUUUUCCCCCACUCCCCUUUCCUCCUCCCCUCUCCCCUGCCACCCUCCCCCCUGCCCCAUACACUCCCAAUGUACGUGGGGGAGUUUGUCUUUUUCCCCUUCCUAGGCAGAUCCAUUUAUGUCUCUCUUAGGGUCCUCUUUGUUACCUAGACUCUCUGGAGUUGUGGCCUGUAAGCUGAUUGGCCUUUGCUUUAUGUCUAAUGUCCAUUUAUGAGUGAAUACAUAUUAUAUUUGUCUUUCUGGGUCUGGGUUACCUCACUCAAGAUGUUUUUUCUAGUUCCAUUCAUUUGCCUGCAAAUUUUAAGGUGUCUUUGUUUUUUACUAUGGAGUAGUACUCCAUUGUGUAAAUAUACCACAUUUUCCCUAUCCUUCUGUUGAGCAGCUAAGUUAGUUCCAGGGUCUGGCUAUUACAAAUAAUGCUUCUAUGAACAUAAUUGAGCAAGUGUCCUUGUGGUGUAAGUGUGCAUCCUUUGGGCAUAUGCCCAAUGAUGGUAUUGCUGGGUCUUGAGAUAGAUUGAUCCCCAAUUUUCUGAGAAGCUGCCACACUAAUUUCCAAAGUGGCUAUACAAGUUUGCACUCCCACCAGCAGUGAAGGAGUGUUCCUCUUAUCGUCUCCAGGAUAAGCUGUCAUUAGAGUUUUUUAUCUUGGCCAUUCUGACAGGUCUUAGAAUCAUUUUGAUUUGUACUUCCCUGAUGGCUAAGGAUGUUGGGUCCAUUUGAUUGGAAAUCUUUUUCCAACCCUUUACUCUGAGGUGAUGUCUGUCUUUGUAGUCGAGGUGUGUUUCUUGUAGGCAGAAGGGUGGAUUCUGUUUUUGUAUCCAAUCUGUUAGCCUGUGUCUUUUUAAGGUGAACUGAGUCCAUUAAUAGUAAGGGAUAAUAAUGACCAGUGAUUACUAGUUCCUAUUAUUUUUGUUUUUGAUGGUAGUGGUAGUAAUGUGUGUGUGUUUCUCUUCUUAGGGAUUUUCUGGUGUGGGAUUACUUUCUGUAGGGCUGGAUUUGUCACAAGGUAUUAUUUAAAUCUGGUUUGGUCAAGGGAUAUCUUGUUUUCUCCAUCUAUGGUGAUUUAAAGCUUUGCUGGAUACAGUAGUCUGGGCAACCGUGG
ensembl:lncRNA